UAUAGAAUAAGGAAAAAUCUUCUCAUCAGCCCACUGUUGUCAUCAGCCGUUGCACACCCUACGUGGCGCCCAUUCGCGCUCUCCCCCAUCACACGGUUCCUCUCUCAUUCAAAAUUCCUUCUAAAUUUUUUUCCUUUCCCAUGCAAAACCCAGGUGCCUUCCUCUUCAAACCCCAUCUCACCUCAAGGCUUGAAUUUUUUCCUUUCCCGUGCAAAACCCAGGCGCCUUCGUCUUCAAACCCCACCUCACCUCAAGGCUCGACCCUCAAUUCCCCACCUCAAGGCUUCGUCUUCAACCUCACCCCGACCCCAACAUUCGACCUCAGCCCAACGGAGGACAAAGUUCCCAAGCAAAGAAGCUUCCAGUCCAAACCCCUGACCCUAAGCACGUCGUCUCUGUGAUUUCUUCUAUGUGAUUUCUUGGUUUUAUAUGAAGUCCCGUCCUCUUCUCUGUGA